rnacentral:rRNA from 1 species
CCUACGGGGGGCUGCAGUGGGGAAUAUUGGACAAUGGGCGAAAGCCUGAUCCAGCCAUGCCGCGUGUGUGAAGAAGGCCUUCGGGUUGUAAAGCACUUUCAGUGGGGAAGAAAGCCUUGGGGCUAAUACCCUCGAGGAAGGACAUCACCCACAGAAGAAGCACCGGCUAACUCCGUGCCAGCAGCCGCGGUAAUACGGAGGGUGCGAGCGUUAAUCGGAAUUACUGGGCGUAAAGCGCGCGUAGGCGGUCUGAUAAGCCGGUUGGGAAAUCCCCGGGCUCAACCUGGGAACGGCAUCCGGAACUGUCAGGCUAGAGUGCAGGAGAGGAAGGUAGAAUUCCCGGUGUAGCGGUGAAAUGCGUAGAGAUCGGGAGGAAUACCAGUGGCGAAGGCGGCCUUCUGGACUGACACUGACGCUGAGGUGCGAAAGCGUGGGUAGCAAACAGGAUUAGAUACCCCAGUAGUC